AUUUGAUUUUUGAAUGCGGUGAACAGGGUGUUCCACUAUAUCAUUAGGGCAGACAAAAAGACCUAUCUUAUGUACACUCCCAAGACCAUCCAUAGUAAACUGUAAAUAUAAAGAGAAACUUUUCAUCUAACAACUUACAAAUCAUGCACAUUGAGUUUUGCAGAUGCAAUUAAUGGAAUCCCCUUGAUCCUCUGGACUGAUACAGUUCCAGCCUGCUUUUAGCUUCCUGCAGUAAGGACUCCAUAUAUUCAUCUUGAAUCAAGUAGGACUGUUUUGAUGCCCAUUCAAGAACUGUAAGCACCUCAGCUUGAGCAAGCUCUUCGCUAUCUGGAACGUGCAAUGCAAUGUAGCAUAGCAAAAGCAAUGAUGGACUCUGAACUAUUUGUUCACCAAAGUAAACGAG
rnacentral:misc_RNA from 1 species